UACGGGGGGGAGCAAGCGUUGUUCGGAUUUACUGGGCGUAAAGAGCUCGUAGGCGGCUUGUUGCGUCGACUGUGAAAACCCGCGGCUUAACUGCGGGCUUGCAGUUGAUACGGGCAGGCUAGAGUUCGGUAGGGGAGACUGGAAUUCCCGGUGUAGCGGUGAAAUGCGUAGAGAUCGGAAGGAACGUCGAUGGCGAAGGCAGGCACCUGGCUUGAUACUGACGCUGAAGCGCGAAAGCGUGGGGAGCGAACAGG
rnacentral:rRNA from 1 species